rnacentral:rRNA from 1 species
CCUACGGGAGGCAGCAGUGGGGAAUAUUGGACAAUGGGCGAAAGCCUGAUCCAGCAAUGCCGCGUGUGUGAAGAAGGCCUUCGGGUUGUAAAGCACUUUAAGUUGGGAAGAAAAAGCUCUGGCUAAUAUCUAGAGCCUUGACGGUACCAACAGAAUAAGCACCGGCUAACUCUGUGCCAGCAGCCGCGGUAAUACAGAGGGUGCUAGCGUUAAUCGGAUUUACUGGGCGUAAAGCGUGCGUAGGCGGUUUGAUAAGUCGAUUGUGAAAGCCCCGGGCUUAACCUGGGAAUUGCAGUUGAUACUGUCAGACUAGAAAACGGUAGAGGGAGGCGGAACUCCAGGUGUAGCGGUGAAAUGCGUAGAUAUCUGGAAGAACACCGAUGGCGAAGGCAACCUCCUGGGCCUGUUUUGACGCUGAGGCACGAAAGCGUGGGUAGCAAACAGGAUUAGAUACCCUGGUAGUCCACGCCGUAAACGAUGAGAACUUGACGUUGGUUUGCUUAGCAAAUCGGUGUCGUAGCUAACGCGAUAGUUCUCCGCCUGGGGNGGACGGCGCGAAGGUAGUAACGUUACAAUAGUUAGUUAGUACGGCGUUGAGACGUUGCCGACGGACGACGACGAGGGGAGGAGG